rnacentral:rRNA from 1 species
UACGAGGGGGGCGAGCGUUGUUCGGAAUUAUUGGGCGUAAAGGGCGCGUAGGCGGUUGGGUAAGUCUUGUGUGAAAUCUUCGGGCUCAACUCGAAGUCUGCACGAGAAACUAUCUGGCUUGAGUGUGGGAGAGGUGAGUGGAAUUCCUGGUGUAGCGGUGAAAUGCGUAGAUAUCGUGAGGAACACCAGAGGCGAAGGCGGUUGCCUGGACAGUUACUGACGCUCAGGCACGAAAGCAUGGGGAGCAAAAGGG